AAGGGAAUCUUCGGCAAUGGACGAAAGUCUGACCGAGCAACGCCGCGUGAGUGAAGAAGGUUUUCGGAUCGUAAAACUCAGUUGUUAGAGAAGAAUGUUGAUUAGAGUGGAAAAUUAAUCAAGUGACGGUAUCUAACCAGAAAGGGACGGCUAACUACGUGCCAGCAGCCGCGGUAAUACGUAGGUCCCGGAGCGUGUUCCGGAUUUAUUGGGCGUAAAGCGAGCGCAGGUGGUUUAAUAAGUCUGAUGUAAAAGGCAGUGGCUCAACCAUUGUGUGCAUUGGAAACUGUUAGACUUGAGUGCAGUAGAGGAGAGUGGAAUUCCAUGUGUAGCGGUGAAAUGCGUAGAUAUAUGGAGGAACACCGGUGGCGAAAGCGGCUCUCUGGACUGUCACUGACACUGAGGCUCGAAAGCGUGGGUAGCAAACAGGAUU
rnacentral:rRNA from 1 species